rnacentral:rRNA from 1 species
GACGAACGCUGGCGGCGUGCUUAACACAUGCAAGUCGAACGGAAAGGCCCUGCUUUUGUGGGGUGCUCGAGUGGCGAACGGGUGAGUAACACGUGAGUAACCUGCCCUUGACUUUGGGAUGACUUCAGGAAACUGGGGCUAAUACCGGAUAGGAUCUCCUGCUGCAUGGUGGGGGUUGGAAAGUUUCGGCGGUUGGGGAUGGACUCGCGGCUUAUCAGCUUGUUGGUGAGGUAGUGGCGUACGAAGGCUUUGACGGAUAGCCGGCCUGAGAGGGUUAACGGCGACAAUGGGACUGAGAGAGGGAGCAGACGCGUACGGGAGGCAGUAGUGGAGAAUAUUGCACAAUGGGCGGAAGCCUGUGACAAAGACGCCGGGUGCGGAAUGACGGCCUUCGGGGGGUGAACCGCUGUCGCCUGAGACGAAGCGUGAUUGACGGUACUGAGUCAAGAAGCCCCGGCUAACUACGUG